AUGGCUCAGUGGUAGAGCAGUUGCCUGACAUGCGUGAGGCCCUGGGUUCAAUCCCCAGU
rnacentral:tRNA from 1 species